rnacentral:lncRNA from 1 species
CAUUUAGACUUAAGAAAAUAUUAAGUUGGCCCAAAAUUCAUCUUCCCUUCCCUUGCGUUUCAAGCUUCUGGAGUCUGCAAGUCUGCACCAAUGGCAAGUUGGGCUGCAUCCAACCUUGAUCCGCCGAAAAUCCCAGUGCGAGCACUGUCGAAAAUCCUAGUGCGAGCAAUAGCUGCUAGAAAUCCCUGUCUGCUGCCAUUUCAUAAUCCGCCCUCCCAAUAACAUUUCUCAAACCAGUUCCGACUGACUGGUUGAAAGACCCCCUUCGACUUUUGGCCUGAGGCGCAGGCCUCAUCCGCCUAGUCUCAGGACCAGCUCUGCUUUGAAGCCAUCAAGAAUCAAAAUAAACUUAAAAAUCAAAAAAGGGGGGCCUAUGACAAAAGCCCACUAAUUCAAAAUAAUAAAUAAAUAAAUAAAAAUGAAGAAGAAGAAGAAGAAGAAGGCCCAAACUUUCAUCUCCUUCACCUUCUUUGCUGGCUGCUUUCACAGGUCACAGUGUGCACUCUGUUAAUGCUACCGCCUACCAAGGAUGAAAUUCAAUGGUUCCAACAGAGCCAACACUGGCAGUCACGCGCAGCUCACCAAGCACUGGCUCCUUCCCUAUUUCCAUUAUUUGUUCAAUCAUACUUUUAAUGUAUUUUACAACUUGAUUUACAAUGUAUGACUUGACAAACAUCACAUCUUCUAUUU